UUCCCGUUCCCCUUCCCCGCCUUCCUGUGGGGCAGCUCCGAGUGCGGCUCCCGGGCCGCUGCGUGUGCGCCGUGCGGGGCUGCCUCACGGCCCUGCUCGCGCCUCGCGUGGGGUGAAGGCUCACGGUGGAGCGCGGGAGCAAAUGCUCGGCGACACUUUGGGCAGCCUGGGGCAGAGUGCCAUUUCUGGAGGGGGGAACAUCUCCCGAAAGCAGCUGUGAGAUGGGCUGCUUGUUCUGUACUCUAGAGAGGCCAUGGUUUCCUGUUGAACUUCUGCCUUGCCAACACCCUGUUUUGUCCUGAUGCCAAAUGCAGCAGUAGGUGGAGUGGAAGACACUGCACAUGGAUGGCCAUUCCUGAAGUGCAUGUGUUGCAUCACGUAUUGCUCAUCGGGAGAGACUUGGAGAGGACUUGAAAGAGGACUAUUUCUUGCUGGAGCUUUAAACUGGCAGCCUAUUAUGGAAUCUUUUAAGAGAGAUUGUGGAGUCUCCCUCAAGAACCAUCUGGACAUAAUCCUGUGCCAUGGGCUCUUAGAUGACCCUGCUUGAGCUGGGAGGUUGUACCAGACGACCCACUGGGUUCCCUUCCAACCUUACCCAUUCUAUGAAUAUAUAGCCACACAAGAGUUUCUACUGGAAUUCAGCAGUUUUGGGUCUCUCCACGGUGCCUCCUGUCAGCCACGAAGCUGCCUUGUGAGUGGAGCUGCACCUCAGGCUCCUUUUUCUACCUCAGCAAUUGAGAGCUGUUGCUUUGCUUCAGCAUGAUGGAGUGGGGUUUUGUAAUGAAACCAGCCCUGCAGGAGCCAUCUUCCGGUCUCUUUUUCCACUGUACAGUUGACAGGUGAGCUGGGAUGCUGCAGUCUCCUCACCCUCCAAAUGCUCAAUUCUUGGACAUGUCCUAUCUCCAUGGGCACACACAUCAGAAGAGUGAAAGGAAUCCCAUGGAGAAGACAGGAUAGCAAGAGGUUCUCUUGAGGCCCUGGAUGUUUGGCAGAAAAAUUGCCAAACAGGCCAGGAUUUCUCCAGGAGAACAUUUUCCUCCAUUAAUAUUUGCAGCAAACAAGGGAGUUGAAGAACACGGAAAUACUUGGUGGAAGACACAUGGCUAUGGUGCUAGGUACAGAAAGCAAUCUGUAACUUUGUUAUGACUUUUUCCUUAGUUUUUAGGCUUGUCCAGAGAAUUAAUUAACAAAGGAGCAGCAAUAGGUGUGAGAGAAAGAAAAGCAGGAAGAGGCAACACCUAACAUCACAGAGUAAGACAUUUGCUUGCUGAUAUUUCAAGAUGGAUCCUCAAAUCCUUGUUCCAGACAGUCAUUUUGUGGCAAAUAACCCUAUCAGAGUACAAAGAUAUGUGUGACUAUAAUGUGCAUGCAAAACUGUGCAUGGCUGGGGCAUAAAAAUAGUCUGGAUUUUGAGGUCUACCAAAUCAGUUGAGUUUUAUUACAAUAUGUUUUUUUGGUUUAUUUGUUCAAGAGGAGAACAUAUAUUAAAUGUGAAGAUCAUAUAUACAUAUAUAAAUGAAAAGAAUGUUUUUUUUAGUUAAGAAAGCAACAUUAAUACUUAAUGUCCUAGUAUUCCUUUAAUCUGCUUAUCCAGUGCUAGUGUAAUAUAUCUUCUUUCUUUAAGCAGGCUUCUAAAUGGAUGAAAGUCCCUGUAAAUUAGUGAGGCCCAUCCACCCACUUUAUAAAGAUUAUAUCAUGCCACAAAGAUUAAAAAUAAUAUGUAGUUCAGGACAAUGAAAUUCUGAAUUUAAAGGAAUUAAAUGACUAACCUCACUCAUGUAAAUUGUACCAUAAAUUUACUUACUACUCCUAAGACAAAAAUUUAUUCAAAAGAAUUUUAUAGCACUUUCUAUGUAGAAAAUUGCUGUCAGGGAAAAGGGCUGAGUUAACUGAAUAAAUACAAUACCCAUAAUCCUUAAAAUAAAAUACAUUAACUAAAGAUAUCUUCAAAUUUUUCUGCUGCCAGUCAUGCUGACUUACUUAUUUUUGUCUGAAGUAUAGGUUUUAAAGCCAUCAACUGACAUUAUUUUUCUUUAUUGUAGGUUUGGGUUGGACUGUGCUGACUCACUAUAAGUGAACAUUAAAUAUUGAGUUUAAAUACACUGAAAAGAAUUGUAAAAGCCUUCCAGAUUACCCAGCUUUCAAAAAUUCUCAUUUCUCAUUAUGGAUGGGGCAAAGCACUGUUUUAAUUAAUAGCCGUGAGUAAUUUUUUUGGCAUCUCAUGAUUUUAAUAGAAAAAUUAAUUAGUAGAAAUUUUGAAUAAAUCUUUCAGUAAUUUAAUUUUUUACAUUUAAUGUUUAAUACAAAUGUGAUGUUGAACAACAGUUCUGUCCCAUACUGUCUGUGUGCCUGCUUCCCAUUGCUGCAGCACAGCUACCAGUCACCAAACUGUGGAGCUACCAGAUGCUGUCUAACCUGCUCAGGAGAGGUGAGCUGAUUCCCAUGGUUUCACAAGUCCCUCAAAAAGAUAUUUGCAAAGGCUUUCCAUCCCUGGCACAAACAGAGACAGGAGUCACAGGGUCUUUCUCAUGGCUCGAGAAAUGAUCCAGAGAUUUUCCCUUGCAGGAAUUCAUGGCAGGGGCAGAGAUUUGAGAGUUGUGUGGCAAGAAGUUGCCAGCCUGGCUGCUGAGCUUGGGUCCCCUGCAAGGGGCAGGUGGGGCACAGACCCUUCCUCCCGUGCCGUGUGGCAGCACAUCCAUGAGCCUGGUGUGGAGGAAGACUGUGGGAGGAAACACCUGCUCACCCCUUGGAGCCCUGGCUCAGGCCAAGACACAUGGAGCUGUCAGUGGCUUUGCAAUGCAUUUGGUUGAUGCUGCGUACUCACAAAUAUUGCUGCUGUCUGGGCUGGAUUUAAUUUGGGGAGGAUUGAAAGAAAGUACCUUGGGAAGGAUUGUAUGAAGAGAAGACACAUAAACCUUUCUUCCUGACUCAACUUUGUUAUUUUCACAAAUGUGGAACACAUUUGGUCUGGCAUCCCAUUGAUUUGUUUACUGCUUUUGUGUCCCACAUUUGCUGAGGCUUUCCAAACAUAGAUAUCUCUGUCAUCUGGCCUGGCUCUGACUACUGCACUGAGAACCCAGCAUAGGAGGUGGAGUACAUGUCCAGGGCAUUUGGGUGGGCAUGGAAAUGAACACAGUGAACUUUUGAAAUAACCUGGGAUGUACUUUCAGGUUUGCCCAUGGCUCAGGUGUAAAAAUUAUUUGUUUUUUUAAAGAAAUUAUGUUCAAGUAUCAGCUAUAAGCCCUUACCUUGGGUGCACACAGCUCUCUGUUUAUGCUCUGCCCCUGGAUGUGGAAUGUUACAGCACUGUUACGAAUUAUUCUGUCUUUGUGCUUUGGAAACUAUGCAGCAUGGCUUGCUUUCAAACAUUACUUUUGUUAUAAAAAUCAGUGGCUCCUACAGUGACCUGAAACUAGUCAGGUAGGAUUGAACGGAGCAAAGAAUUUCACAGAUGGCUGACUUGUUACUCCAUUGUGGCAUGUGUAUAUAGUUCUGUGUUUCAAAAAAUAUUUCUCUCUGUUGUUUUAGAUGAGACUAUUAAUAGUUUUUAAUACAACAAUAGGGAUUUUUUUUUUCACGGAAAAACUGCGAUUCCUAGUUUAGGUAGGAUGUACUUCAGUCAAGUAAAACUGAAAGAAGGAAGAAAGCCAUCUUCUCAUCUGAGCCAUUUUGCAGAGAGAGCCCUCUCCCCUGACUCUUCCUUCUAACCACCACCUCAUCUGUACUAAAGAGGGCAAGAGAUCCUCUUCAAACAUGCUGAGGAGUUAAGAAUGCAUUAGCUCCACUGCCCUGGAGCUAGUAUCACCUGACAUGAUCUGCCAGACCAGCUGGGAGAUCUAAAGAGGGUUUCUUUUCUGCAGAUACUUUGAGGCCUGUAGUGUGUAGACCCUGUUACACUGCAGUCUUUCAGAAAUGCACUGACUUCUUUGAAAUGCCUCUGCACAGCCCAGAAGAAGACACUUUUCCCAGAAGCAGUCUCCUAGCAUGCAUCAUUUUUGGCAGUAUCCGCAAAUAAACUUCUUGUAAUUGAUUUAAUAAUUUUCAAAUAAAAAAAUUAUGAUAGCUGUGGACAGCUAUAAAUAACAGAAAUGAAACACAUUAUUUGCACUGCGCCUUCACAUGCACUUGUUUAGCUCUUUUUGCUGUUAAGUUAAAACAUCUGUUUCUAUGGAAGUGGAGCAUUCCAUGCAACAAACACAGCACUGGAAGUGACCCACAUAUUAAAUGACAACAUUUGACAAAUUCUAGCAGUUGAUUACUGGGGAGGAGUAGACUGUGGUUAUAAUCAGAGUAAACCAAAAAAAUGUGUACCUUUAUAAAGCUAGAGUUUAAAUGAAACAUCUGUACUAAAUCAUGUUUGUAGAACUGCACUGUAGCCAACUACCAGACCAUAUGAUAAUGGGGUGUUUUUAACGAUCCCUAUUUCCAUCGCCGUCCUCCAAAUCAGAUCCAGACUGUGCCCACUGGCACAAAUUCUGCUGGAAACCAAUUGGGAUAGUGUCAGGCUACAGUGAAUGUUGUAAGUUUAGAUACAGAUACCCAUAAAAUGUAGUGAUUCCAAUGCCUUAUGGAGAUUAUAAGCACAGGUAGACACUCAGGUGAAUAUUAGCUGUAGCUUUGUAGGCUACAGACUUUUCCAGUCAUGUCUUGACCCCUGGCAAAGAGGGAUAUGUUAAAAUGACUGCAGAAUCUUAUUCAUAAGGAAAUAUGUGUGUAGAGCAAGAAAGUGGGUAUUAGAAUUGCAGCAGCAGGUCAGCUGGUGAUAAACUGGGAGUGCUCAGGCUGGCACCAAACCAGGUUUGGCAGCUCACUUAAGCAUAGUUCUUUGGGUCUGUGAAAUUGGUAUACAACAGUCAAGUAAAUACAAUUGUCUCCAACUGUUUCCUGUUGCUGUUAAGAGAAGACAAAGCAAAAGAAAAGUAGUUUAGUCCAUGUCUCUAUGUAGAUUCUUAAACUGGUAUUCAUUAGUAACAUCUGAACAUACACCUUUCCUUAUUACUGCAGAAUAUUCCCUGAAUUAGUUAAAAAACACAAAUGCCCAAACUUUGUAUUAGCUCUACAUAGUCCCCACAAUUUUUCAAAAACAGAAAAAAAGGCAUACCUAGCCUGCAACUACAUUGUUAGUUUUAGGUGACCUAUAAUAAAAGGUUGCUGUUUGUUAGGAAGACUUAUUCAUAAUUCCUUGACCAACAUGAGUAAUGCUUAAUAAAAUUGAAAUAUUGAAAGAGUGAAAUAUUACUGACGUGAUGGCAAGAAAUAGUAGUUAGUUGGGACAUGUAAGAGCCUCCUCAUUUGGAUCAAGUAGAUGAGUGUUGUGUGGCAGGAAUAAAAGUAUAGGCUACAUUAACAUGGAACAAAGAAUAUAAUGAGUUACUGGUAGUGUCUAAAUUUACUGUUAGCAGGACGCACCUAAAAUACUGCAAUAAUCAAAUUAUCUCAUUGCUUAGAGAUAACCUGACAGGACAUUAUAUCCAUCAGGAGUUGUGAUUUUAUUUCAAAGAAUCAUAGAAUUGUAGGUUGGUUUGGGUUGGAAGGGAUAUUAAAGAUCAUCUAGUUCCACCCCCUUUCCAUAGGCAAAGACAAGUUUGACCUGGUUGCUCAGAGCCCAUCCAGGUUGACCUUGAGUGAUUCCAGGGACAGGACAACCAAAACUUCUCUGGCCAAUCUGUUCCAGUGCCUUGCAGUGCCUCACAGUAAGGAAUUUCUUCUUCCUACAUAAUCUAAAUCUACUCUCAUUCACCUUAAAGCUAUUCCCCCCUGUCUUGUCACUACAUGUCCUUGCAAAAAGUCCCUCUCUAGCUGUCUUGUAUGCUCCCAUCAGGUACUGGAAGGUGCUAUAAGGACAUGAGAGAAGUUUUUAAGAUAACAUGCAUGUUCUAUAAUGAAGGGGUAGAGAAAAAUCUAUACAGUAUUCAUUUGAAAUAUAAACUUGAGGACUUUGAUUGUCUGAUACUUUAUUGUAAGCAUUCUGUUUAAUUGUUCAAAGAACAAUUGAAGCUUAAAUACUUAGACCACUGCCACCGGUGUGCUUAAACAUACAAGAAGAUCUGAAAUAAAACCUUGAUUGCUUUGAGAUAAACACAAAAGGUGAGGGGGUGUGGUGGUGGGGAGGAGAGAGAUAGGUGGAGGAGGAGAGGUUAAGCUUGAAGACUUAGAAAUACCACACCAUCUUUGGGUUUAUAAUUUAAAUUAUAAUUUUGCGUUUAAAAAUUUCCUAGAUUUAUAGAUGUUAUUGUCACAAUGGAUUAUUAGAUCAUCUUGCCUGACUUGAUCUUAUGUAAAAGUAAUGUCUAGAGAGUCCUCUAAGAGGGCUCUUCUUCAUUUAAUACUCUAAAACUAAUAACAUACAGUGACUUUACACAAAAUAAAAUGCUUUGCCAUAUAGAUAUUCAAUUAAAUAAUUCUCACCAUUUAUGUCUUGCCUACCCGUUUUUUUGAUGAUGUUUACUUCAAAAUCCAAUGUGGAAGUAUUUACCUGAAUUUCAGUCCAACAGGUUUGCUUCUGGUGACACAGCAUUCAACAAAUAGGAAUGCUUGAUCAGGAUCAUCUAAAUUUUCCUCAUUCUUUGGCCUCUUUCAGUGACAGGCCAUCAGUAUGUAUUUCAGUGUAUUACUUUCUCAGUCAUUUAUAACAGCACAGAUGAACUGUUGUCUGAAGUUGAAAAACUGUCUUUGAACCUGCCAACACCAGUGUCUUGUUUCUUAAGCCUAACCUUCUGGUUUGGAAGAUGUUUACAAUGGUUGUAUGUCUGACUAAUAAAAGUUGUCAGCUUGAUCUGCCUUGUCAAAUAUGCUACUAACCAAAAUCUACUUAUACUGAGGAAGAGUACUAGUAAUUGAUGAAAUCAUUCCAAAUUCUAUAUAAAGGCAGUUUCAGAGGGUUUUUUCUACACCACAGUGUGGAGAUUGCAAGUUACAUACUAUAGUUCAUCACUCCUGAACAAAAGACCUUUAUAUGCACAGUAAAUAACAGCUAAAUUAAA